AGCAAGAUUUAUAGUCAGAAGUGUCCUUUAAAAAUUCUAGAGAUGCCAGGUGACACACUUAGAUAAUUUUGGACUCUCGCCCCACUAUAUGGCUUUGUCUAUGAUUCACUUCUGUUUCUUCCUUCUGCAGCUUUAUGGGGUUCUGGAGAAGGCGAGGCCAUCCUUGAGCUCCCCAUAAAAAGGUCCCUGUGGCAUAGACACCGAGAACUGGGAAGCCUUGGCCCUUGAGAGCUCUAACUGGAGGUCAGCUGUGACCAGCAGUGCUGCAGAAUUUGAAGUGGCAAGAAUGGAGGGCUUAAAGGAGAAACGUGCCAAUAGGAAGGCGUGUCAAGCCAGCCCUGACCUGGACCACCUUCCACCUGGAAACCGAUGUCCUAACUUCGGAAGAGCAUGUGGGGCUCACCGGGAAACCUUGUAUGAGCAUGCGACAGCCUCUUCAUGUGCUGCAUGAUGCUGAAUAGGAGAGGAGGAGCUGUGACCAGCUGCCACAUGACCCAUUUUGGCCAAAACAACCCAAAAAACAAGGCGGCUGAGCCCUUACCU